rnacentral:rRNA from 1 species
UACGUAGGUGGCAAGCGUUAUCCGGAAUAAUUGGGCGUAAAGAGUGAGCAGGCGGAAGAUUAAGUCUUUAGUGAAAAGCAGUGGCUUAACCAUUGUCAGCUAAAGAAACUGAUUAACUAGAGUGAGGUAGAGGUAAGUGGAAUUCCAUGUGUAGCGGUGAUAUGCGUAGAUAUAUGGAGGAACACCAGUGGCGAAGGCGACUUACUGGACCUUAACUGACGCUGAGUCACGAAAGCGUGGGGAGCAAAUAGG